AUCCUUAAAAAAUUUAAAAAGUUGAUAUAUCUCUACAAUUCUAGAAUCCUGCUGGCCCUUAUGCAUCCUUGUGACAAAGUACCCACUAUUCUUUGAUGAUUCUCUUGGUUGCAAAGCCAUGACCAUUGAGAUUCAUUGUAUCAGAUACUGGAUCGGAUGGCUCAGAUAGAAAACAUUUCCAUCUUUGCAAAAAGUUCUGUUGGAUAGCACUGACUUAUGGAAAAAACACAUGGCAGGGGGUGAUCAAAAACUCUUUCCGGGAAACUCUACUCUUAAGCUAUGAUAUCAUCAAAGGGACACCUUAAGUCUCCAGACUUCAUCCUUUAUUUGCUAAUCACAAGAUGAAGAAAUUUCAGGAUUGUGUAAAGUGGCAGAGAUUUCUGUGGCUGAGAAAAAAAAUCCUCACCUGAGCUCUGGGAAACAGGUACAAGCAUCUAAAGUUUUAUCACUCUGGUGUGACUUUGAGCUGUUGAAGGUCAGUCUUGCAGAAGAAAGAACACCUUGCUAUGUUUUGUAUCUUGUUAAAAAUACUUUCCUUUCCAUUAGCAUUUUCAAUUCCUGUUUCUCUUGCUGUGUGGAGCUCUGGCUGACCUAGCUGUGUAGGAAUUACCUUGGGGUGUUUUGGCAGUGCCCUCAUUUGUCAACUGUUUAACAUCUUAGAUGCUCGAAAAAGCACCCAUCCUUUGCUGUCCAAAAUCUUUUCUGGAAAGAAGGGUGGAAAAUAGAAAAAAAUUGAUUACUGACUGUCUUGCAGACCUGGAUAUGGGGAGGAAAAGCCCCUUUUGGUCGCUUCAGGGUGAAGUUUGUGGCUUUUAUAGCAUCUUUCUGUUUCUGAGAAAUGGUCUACGGUGAGCUGUGUUAUGUUUGCACCCCAGGCAGUAAGGAGGAUGUUGAAACAGUGCCCUUCCUCAGCUUCUGUUUUCUUAUUUGAGUUCCAGUCUUAUUCAUAUUCAAUCCUUUCCCCUUCCCCAUUAAUUCUACGUGCUAAUAUGUCCUCAACACCCUUUCACAUUGGUGAAUCUCCCUUUCUAAUUAAGAGGCCAUCAUUUUUAAUGGCAUCGUUUUGCUUUCAUUUUAUUUGCUUUUCAAGUUAUUUAAUUUUUAUGGCAGCAGACUCAGUCUACUCAU